GGUAUGCUCCUCAGCUCAGCUACAGGAGAUCACUAUUGGGACCCUCCUUCUCCCAGGGACAAGGAGGCUUCUUCAGAAAUGAGAAUUAGCAUGUUCAAAGAUAAGCAUGUUCAAAGAUAAAUGCAUAAAUGCAUAAAUGCAUCCCAUGAUCUUUGGCUAGACCCUGCCAGGGAAUUAAUUCAGUAGAAAAUUUCAUUAAACUAACUGGUUUUUGUUUUGUUUUGUAGUGCUGGAGAUCCAAACUCAGGGCCUUACACACGAUAGGCAAGCAUUCUACCACUUUCUAGAUGCAUUUCUAAAUGUCUGCUAUUGUUCUACCAGUUCCGAACAAACCAACUUUAGAAAAACAUCUGUAAGAUGCUUCAUGAUGUGACUUUAUGGUGUUCAACUGCCUUGGCAUGGGGGUUUGUGGCCUAUUUUAAAACCACAAUGGUAGAUAAUAUUUCCCCCCCACAACACCAGUUGUGCUAAGGGGCAGGUCUUCUCUGACACCCUCAGAAACAGUUGUGUAGAAAGAGAAGCCUCAGCUUCCGAAUUCCUCUAGUCCCAGGAUGCCUGGUCCUAGGACUGCACCAGACUGAGCACACCACCAAUGGUACCAGCAGCCUCUCCGUGCCCCAAACAGGCAGCAAGUGCUGCCAACAACCACCCCCAAGACCCUUGGUACCAGACUUACGGCUCCCCUGUGUCCCUUUGGUGAGGUGAAGACAAAUGAACUAUUUUAAGGAAGAUGACAAAAAAGCUGUUGAUAACAAAAAUGCUCUUUAAUGACCAUUAAUUCUCAGCUUUCAGAGCAUUAGUAAUGACUCAAGUGCCCCUAGAGAAUACAAUCUCCCAUGCUGAUUUCAUUUCAAGUCACUAAGGCCUCCAAAUCUCUCCAUUUCCACUUUUAAUGGCUUUUAUUUCCUGUUUACAAAUACUCCAACAUAAACAAACCUUCAAGAGGAAUGGAGAUAAGGAAUGGAGGCUGGGUGAGGUCAGGGGCUAUAAUGCCCCAACUCUAGUUUUCUAAUUAAAGGGUAAGACAUGAUGGACCACUCAAUGAGCCAGGCUCCUGACUCUGACGUGGUUCUGUCCUUGGAAAUUGCCAGCCUAAAGAGGAAGAGACAGAUUGUGACCUGGGAUGGCUGCACAACCUGGCAGGACAAAGUGCUCGGUUCUGCCAGAGAGAAUCUCCAGGGCCCCACCAAGGAGGGGGUGUCCAUGGUAGGCCUCAAUGCAUGAGUGGCAGUUCCAAUCCAAUAAAAGGAAGAAGUUGAAUAAGGAACCAGUCUAAAAAUCAAAAUGGCAUUACUGAUACUAAAGUUCCACAUGACCAAACAGAAACCUAAGUUGUUAUCCAACCUUAAGAAAGAGAAAUGAUAGCCAAAUCUCCAAAACAGACCAGUUUCAGUCAGUAUGAUACUGUCAUUCCCUCUACUUUAAUCUUUACCACAAAACUAAUCUGAAGUAAUGUGAUGUUAACUAUUUUCAGUUAUUUUUCUAUUGUUCAUCUUCCUAUCUCCUGCCUUUCAAGGAAAGUAACUUUGAAGCAACCAAUCCUCUCUUUGUUCUUUGUUUCUACUUGAUUCAGCCCUUCUCCUUUAUAAAGCCAACCUCUUUCUUCUCAGCUCAUUGGAAUGCAGUGUUGCCUGAUUCUAGACUCACCAAGUCAAUUAAGAACUUCAAACUAUGCUUAUUGUAAUUUUGUCUUUUGACAGGAGAAAAGAUCUAAUAAAACAAUACAAGAAAAUGUAGAUUUGCAAGACCCAAGUUUCUAGACUGAAAGAAUCCAUUGAGUGCCUAGAAUAAUGAUGGAGAGAGGUACACACAAUGGGACAUUAUUAUGAAAUUGCAGAGCAUUAGCCAAAAAGAGAAGAUCCUAUAAUCAUCCAGAGAAAAAUAAGUCACAGACAAUAGGUCAUAAAUUAAAAUGGCUUUGGGCUGGUCAACAACAUUCAAAGCUAGGAAGUCAUGAAGCCAUAUGUUUAAACUUCUGAAAGAAAAUUAUUUCUAACCUCACAUUUGAUACCUAUCCAAACAAUCAAGCAAAUUGUAGAAGACACAUAUUUUAAGAUGUGCAAGGUCCCAAAACGUUUUUCUCCCAUGUGUUCUUUCUGAUUUCUCAGGGGGCCAUUCCACCCAAAGGAGUAAUCAGAAAGAGGAAGGAAAGAAGACGCCUCAGGAUGAUGAUCCUGAAAACAGACUCCUCAGGAUGAUGAAUGGAUCAGUUGUGUGACCAGCAGGGUAGCAGACACUCUUGACAACAUGGAGAGAAGACACAAUUGUUUGAAGGUAGCUGAGAAAGCAUCACAAAAGACUUACUCCAUGCUUCCUGGAAACAGAUGAUAUUGACUCCACACAUUGCAGCCACCUCGGCAAUGGCCUCUAUGCGUCUAUGAAGGGCAGAGACCUGAUGAUUUAAAAAGCAAGGAUUAGAAUCCAUUCGGUUCUUCUGAGAAGACAAUUUGAAAGAAUUUAUCCCAAUGCACAUAGAACAACAAACUCCCACCUGACCAGGUGUGAGGAGAUGAGUGGGCUAGGGAGGUUCUAAUAGCUGGUUAUAUCAUCAGACUAAAAUCUGCAAUAUAAAGCGGAGGUACAGAAGCUCUGGUUCCCAUGGACACUGUCUCAAUUUCCUCACCUGGCAAUGGGGAAACAACCACCAGAUUCAUGCGGUUGCUGAGAAGUAUGAAUAAAUCUGAUUCUGUGUACUGUGUACAAGGUGCACAUGCAUGUGUACACACACACACACACACACACACACAAAAUCUCCCCCUGGACCAGCUGCUCCCUUGGCUCCAGACAGUCUACUCUGCACCAUCCUGCAUUCAAGGUGCCGGGCUUGCUUGUCCUGCCAUUUCCACUGUCCUGUGUGAAUCAUAGCUGCCAACUCACCUUUCUGAUUCUUCUAACUCUUCAUGCACUGGUGUGUGCCCUUGGUCAGGAAUGAGCUUCCCCCAACCUCUCAGUUUUCCCAGAUAUGUGACAUCUGUGUCACAUGUUGUCCUUCUGUGAGCCUUCUGCAGAUUCUCCCAGCUUUCUCUGGGUGCUCCUUUGGCAGCACUAUUCCCAUUUUGCUGCCACUGUUUCUCUACUGUCUCAUUCCUGGGAUCUCACACGCUCCCCAAUCCCUGGCUCCAAGAAACAUUCCAUAGUGUUCACUCAAAGAAAGACCAAAGGAACCAGGCUGAAAACCCAGAGAGCACAAACUCUUUCCAAUGCUCUCAGUCUCUUCCCCAAGAGGCUAUUAGCUCCAGGCCUCCACACACACAUAGUGUCAGCACAAAUUUGCUCCAUGUUACCAACAUGCAAAAAAAUACUUCUAGGUGCCAUGGGCGCAAGAACAUUGCUGGCCCUACAAAUUGACCAUCUGGGAUGAUAGGGAGGAUAUAUUCACAAGUAACAAAUCCAGAGAAAAAAGUAAACUGAGAACCACAUAUCUUUUUUUCGAUGAUGGUGGUGGAAUGCUGGGGAUCAAACUUGGGCACACCAGGCCAGCACUCUACCACUGAUAUCUUUCAAUCCCUCAAAAGCAAAGGAAGGAUCAACAUGAAAGAUGAUUCAGAACCUGACCAGGAAUCCAAGUGACCUUAAGUUUCUCAAGAAUCCCUAAGAAUUCCCAAGAGUACUACAUCAUGAGGAAAAUUCUGCAAAGAAAGCCAUCGAAGUUUGAGCAGCUGGAGGAAUUCUGUGAAGAAGUAUAUAAACUAACCACCUGUGUCUGUCUGUGGUGAUGUUUCUUUAGGGAAAUGCACAAUGCUCCCACAUUUAUUUGCUAACCAUAAGCUCAUAAACGAACAUCUAUCAUAUUCCUAUCCGCUUGUGGGCACCAUCGACUGCAAUAGUUCUGGGUAUAGGGAGUCUCUGCCUUUAGGAUUAAAGCAUGGGACAGUCCUGCCAGUGUAUGCUGACAAGUGGCCUUCUGGCAGGUGACUGAGAGGCAGUGUCCCAUGAAGAGAGCUCUAGUUAGCCAAAUGGGCACCCUCCUAAUUGGAAAAUGGGACUUAAUCAGGAUCAACAGCUGGACAGGAAGUGAAAGGGAAGGUGGAAAGAACAGUAAGGAAGAGAAAGGGUAAAAACCAGAAGAGAAAGAAAAGUUCAAGAUUCAGGCUGGAGGAAAACGAGGAGGUCCGGCAGAAGUGUUUUAGCUAUCCUUUGAGACACAUGGGCUUGUGGAUUUAGAUGAGUGGCCAGCCAAGGACUGUGAUGUGUUCAAAGCAAAGGGUGAGCCAGAGCCUUGUUUGUGUUUAUGAUCAAGAGAGGCUGCACCUGGGGGCUGGGGUUUUGGCUCAGUGGUAGAGCGCUUGCCUAGCAAGUGUAAUGCACUGGGUUCAAUCCUCAGCACCACAUAAAUAAAUAAAAUAAAAAGAUAUUGUGUCUA